rnacentral:rRNA from 1 species
AACGAACGCUGGCGGCGUGCUUAACACAUGCAAGUCGAGCGGUAAGGCCCUUUCGGGGGUACACGAGCGGCGAACGGGUGAGUAACACGUGGGUGACCUGCCCUCAGCUCUGGGAUAAGCCUGGGAAACCGGGUCUAAUACCGGAUAUGACUCCAUGACGCAUGUUGUGGGGUGGAAAGCCUUGUGCGGCUGAGGAUGGGCCCGCGGCCUAUCAGCUUGUUGGUGGGGUGAUGGCCUACCAAGGCGACGACGGGUAGCCGGCCUGAGAGGGCGACCGGCCACACUGGGACUGAGACACGGCCCAGGACUCCUACGGGAGGCAGCAGUGGGGAAUCUUGCGCAAUGGGCGAAAGCCUGACGCAGCGACGCCGCGUGAGGGAUG